UAAAGUUUUACAUAGGAAUAUAUAGAGUAAAUCUUUAAAAAUCUUCUUCUCAGAAACUAAUCAGCCAGAUGAUUCUUUAUAAUUGUUAAGACUUUGGCUCCAGGACAAUUCUUCGGCUUCACAAGAAGGUUCAGAGUUUGAUGUAGCUUUAUAUCCCAUAUAUAAACAAAUGUUAAGGAUCUUUUUGAGAACUGCAAUACUCAACAUGUGAUAUGACUAUAAAAUCAUCCUGUUAGAAAAGGGACUAAUUAUGAUAAACAUUAGAAUAUCCAGGGGGGGGGUGGAUUUUAUUUAUACAUGUAUUAUUGUACAUUGUCCAGAUUGUUUGUAUUAUGACUCCAUUAAGCUGAUUUUAUCAUACUUAUUAUUGCUCAGGUGAGCGAUGUGGCCCAUGGGCCUCUUGUUUGUUGUUAUUGUUCUCAUUAAUAAAAUUAAAAUAUUG
rnacentral:misc_RNA from 1 species